ACGCUCGACACCUACGGGAGGCNGCAGUGGGGAAUAUUGCACAAUGGGGGAAACCCUGAUGCAGCGACGCCGCGUGAGCGAAGAAGUAUUUCGGUAUGUAAAGCUCUAUCAGCAGGGAAGAAACUGACGGUACCUGACUAAGAAGCACCGGCUAAAUACGUGCCACAGCCGCGGUAAUCUGAGCGGGCUGGCAAGGC
rnacentral:rRNA from 1 species